CCAACGAGUGGCGGACGGGUGAGUAACACGUAGGUAACCUGCCCAGAAGCGGGGGACAACAUUUGGAAACAGAUGCUAAUACCGCAUAACAACGUUGUUCGCAUGAACAACGCUUAAAAGAUGGCUUCUCGCUAUCACUUCUGGAUGGACCUGCGGUGCAUUAGCUUGUUGGUGGGGUAACGGCCUACCAAGGCGAUGAUGCAUAGCCGAGUUGAGAGACUGAUCGGCCACAAUGGGACUGAGACACGGCCCAUACUCCUACGGGAGGCAGCAGUAGGGAAUCUUCCACAAUGGGCGCAAGCCUGAUGGAGCAACACCGCGUGAGUGAAGAAGGGUUUCGGCUCGUAAAGCUCUGUUGUUAAAGAAGAACACGUAUGAGAGUAACUGUUCAUACGUUGACGGUAUUUAACCAGAAAGUCACGGCUAACUACGUGCCAGAGC
rnacentral:rRNA from 2 species